CUAAAGCAAUAACCUCAAUGUAACAUCUCAACCGUGCAUUAAAUGAACCUUGCAUUAAACGUCUCAACCUUUGUUUUAGAUCAAAGCCAAUGAAUUGACGAAUCACUAUUCAACCUCCCUAAUUCCCCUCUCCCAGAUUAAAUAUAUAUGCGAUAUCGCCGUAUGAAUCCCUAAAGCUGCUCAAAUCAAACGCCCCUUCUCACGCGUGUAUCCAUCGAAGAAUUCUUCUGCAGUGACCUAGGGUGCAAGGUAACUUUUUCCUCUCACAAUGUUUAUGAUGAGUUUUUUUUGGUAAGAUUAAUGCGCUUACUGCUUCUUUUGGUGUGGAUUUUGACCGAACCUAAUUCAUUCAUUGUCUAAUUCUCAGGCUUUUUUUUAUUAACUCUAGACUAUAUCUAAUUUAUUGUCUGGCUAUACGAACCAAAGGACUUUGGUGACCAAUCAGCCGAUCACAAUUGGUCAUAUCAGUUUAUUUUUUUUUUGCUUUGUAGACAAUUAAGAGAAGGAGCAGAAAUGUGCUCACUUUUGUGUCUGCUUAUUAUGCAACUAAAAAUUAUUGCAAUACUUUCAUUACUUUCUUAUGGGAUGAUGAUAUGAAGCUUUUAUUUUAUUUUCACACUCUAGCUUCUGCUUUUUGAAACUUCUUCUUUUUGUUAUUGGCUUAGUGUUGUGCGCUUUUGUGAAACAUAGUUAGCUCAUGUUUUGGACGCUGUGUCACAAAAUCUUGCAACAUUAUGUUAUAAUUUCACUAUGUAUUUAUACUGUUGCGGUCAAAGGUCUCAGUUGUACUUUGUACCAUAAUAGUUUAACUUUUGAUUGUAUUGGAGUAUGCUUGCUUGAAGAAGUCAAGAAGAAAAAGAGUUUACAAGGAUUAAGGAUUUUAAAGGUGGCAAAGAGGAUAAGUGUCGCUCCAAGAGAUGACCAUGCCAACAGCCAUAUAAGUACAGAACCAGUCAGAGCUAGAGUUCUUGAACAGCAUGAUGAUCUUUUCAAACUUGGCCGUGCAUUGGCGUUUCUACUACCGCAUAUUAUUUUGAGAGCGCGAAUAAUUCCUGAGGCUGACAAGAAAGAAUGUCUGAAAAAGCGUAUGGAGUUUCAUAACACAACUACCAAGAGAAAAUGUUGAAGAUGUUGAGGUGAUAAACGAGGCGAAGGCAUACAAAGCAUUUUGAGAAAAUAGUGACCAAGGGGAAGGAGUUUCUGAAGCAUCAGAGGUUUCCUCUGUAUUAAUGGAGAAGGUUGCUGGUCUGAUACCAAUAUCUCGAGGAGGAUGACGAUGUGUCUAUCAAUAUUGGCAAAGGCUGGCUUCUUUUCACAGAUAACACAAGGAUUGACAUGGAAAGAAACACAUGAUGAAGUUGCAGCUGUCGCGAUGUACAUGAAAGACACACUUGCUGCUGAAGGACUUCAACAAAUAAUCAGCUGUCUCUCCAAAGAUAAAGAGGGAAGAAUUGUAGUGUAUGAUACUUUCGGGUUGUGAAGAAAAUGCAACAAAAUAAAAAUCAACAAGGAAAAAAAAAGAGUGCUCUGGUGUCUGCGCAGGAAGGUAAUGACAACCCCAUCGCUGAUAUGCCGGGAGCUGCAUCUGUAACAACAAAUACCUCUCAUGGUGUGUAGAUUGGUGUUCCUGUGACCAGCAUAAGGCUUGAUUGAUAGGCAUGGGGAUGGUUGAAGAAAACAGAGGCGAGGCAGCUCUGCCAGGUGCUCGACCUGUUGUUCCCGAAAUGACUGCGGAGUGCGGAGAAGCUAACAGUUCUGGAACAUGGGCUCUCUGACAUGCAUUCAGUAAAAUCUCAAGUAAUGGAGUCUAUGACCCUCAUGUCAACUCCCACAAACUACGCCAGAGCUUUUUUAAAUUUCGCGUAUUAAUGAAUUAUGACUCAAAACUCAUUACUACCGUCCGUCAUGUUAGUGUAUGUGUUUUGUUUUCAAAAUUUUGUAUCUAAUCAAGUAAGCUCUGUUUUUACAUGCGAACUUGGUGGAA